rnacentral:rRNA from 1 species
UGCCUUACACAUGCAAGGUCAACGGCAGCACGGGAGCAAUCCUGGGUGCGAGUGGCGAACGGGUGAGUAAUAUAUCGGAACGUGCCCAGUCGUGGGGGAUAACGUAGCGAAAGCUACGCUAAUACCGCAUACGAUCUAUGGAUGAAAGCGGGGGAUCGCAAGACCUCGCGCGAUUGGAGCGGCCGAUAUCAGAUUAGGUAGUUGGUGAGGUAAAGGCUCACCAAGCCGACGAUCUGUAGCUGGUCUGAGAGGACGACCAGCCACACUGGGACUGAGACACGGCCCAGACUCCUACGGGAGGCAGCAGUGGGGAAUUUUGGACAAUGGGCGCAAGCCUGAUCCAGCAAUGCCGCGUGCAGGAUGAAGGCCUUCGGGUUGUAAACUGCUUUUGUACGGAACGAAACGGUGAGCUCUAAUACAGUUUGCUAAUGACGGUACCGUAAGAAUAAGCACCGGCUAACUACGUG